rnacentral:rRNA from 1 species
UACGGAGGGGGCUAGCGUUGUUCGGAAUUACUGGGCGUAAAGCGCGCGUAGGCGGACCUGCAAGUCGGGGGUGAAAGCCCGAGGCUUAACCUCGGAACUGCCUUCGAUACUGCGGGUCUCGAGUCCGGGAGAGGUGAGUGGAAUUCCUAGUGUAGAGGUGAAAUUCGUAGAUAUUAGGAAGAACACCAGUGGCGAAGGCGGCUCACUGGCCCGGUACUGACGCUGAGGCGCGAAAGCGUGUGGAGCAAUCAGG